CCGUACUAGACGGGGAGGUAGCGGUGCCCUGUAACCUGCAAUCCGCUAUAGCAGGGUUGAAGUCCCGAGCUGAGGUCUGUUUAUUGUAAGGCUGGCAUAAAUAAGUAGUUAUGAUGCUUGAGUCCUACGCAACGAAAAUUUGUGAAUCCCGCCAGGUCUGGAAGGAAGCAACGGUAAGCAAACACUUUCGUGUGCCGUAGGGGUGCUUAAGUUGAGCCAACUGUUUAUGUAACGCUUAUGGUAGCAUAUCGAAGUCGGGUGUACGG
rnacentral:SRP_RNA from 1 species